GACGAACGCUGGCGGCGUCCUUAACACAUGCAAGUCGAACGGAAAGGCCCUGCUUUUGUGGGGUGCUCAAGUGGCGAACGGGUGAGUAACACGUGGAUAACCUACCUAUAAGACUGGGAUAACUUCUGGAAACCGGAGCUAAUACCGGAUAAUAUAUUGAACCGAAUGGUUCAAUAGUGAAAAACGGUUUUGCUGUCACUUAUAGAUGGAUCCGCGCCGCAUUAGCUAGUUGGUAAGGUAACGGCUUACCAAGGCAACGAUGCGUAGCCGACCUGAGAGGGUGAUCGGCCACACUGGAACUGAGACACGGUCAAGACUCCUACGGGAGGCAGCAGUAGGGAAUCUUCCGCAAUGGGCGAAAGCCUGACGGAGCAACGCCGCGUGAGUGAUGAAGGUCUUCGGAUCGUAAAACUCUGUUAUUAGGGAAGAACAAAUGUGUAAGUAACUAUGCACGUCUUGACGGUACCUAAUCAGAAAGCCACGGCUAACUACGUG
rnacentral:rRNA from 1 species